rnacentral:tRNA from 1 species
GCAGGAUUGGUAUAUCGGUAUUACCCCAGCUUCCCAAGCUGGUGAGGCGGGUUCGACUCCCGUAUCCUGCUCCA